rnacentral:rRNA from 1 species
AAUCAACGCUGGCGGCGUGCCUAACACAUGCAAGUCGAACGAGAAAGAGGGGGCAACUCCUUGAGUAAAGUGGCGACCGGGUGAGUAACACGUGACUAACCUACCCUUGAGUGGGGAAUAACCUUCCGAAAGGAGGGCUAAUACCGCAUAACAUCGCGAGGCGAGAUUCCUUGUGAUCAAAGGAGCAAUUCGCUUAAGGAGGGGGUCGCGGCUGAUUAGCUAGUUGGUGAGGUAACGGCUCACCAAGGCGAUGAUCAGUAUCCGGCCUGAGAGGGCGCACGGACACACUGGAACUGAAACACGGUCCAGACUCCGACGGGAGGCAGCAGUGGGGAAUUUUGCGCAAUGGGGGAAACCCUGACGCAGCAACGCCGCGUGGAGGAUGAAGGUCUUUGGAUUGUAAACUCCUUUCGAUCGGGACGAUUAUGACGGUACCGGAAGAAGAAGCACCGGCUAACUCUGUGCCAGCCGCCGCGGUAAAAC